UAGUACAUAUUCUUGAAUGUGAGCUAGCUUAAAGUGAUCUGAUGUUGUACAGAACUCACUGCUGAGUUAAGCAUGGUUAGAUCAUACAGAGGUAGUACAUGUUCUUGAAUGUGGGCUACCUUAAAGUGAUCUGAUGUUGUACAGAACUCACUGCUGAGUUAAGCAUGGUUAGAUCAUACAGAGGUAUAGUACAUGUUCUUGAAUGUGAGCUGCCUUAAAGUGAUCUGAUGUUGUAC